rnacentral:rRNA from 1 species
CACGUAGGGGGCGAGCGUUGUCCGGAAUCAUUGGGCGUAAAGAGCUCGUAGGCGGCUCGGUAAGUCGGGUGUGAAACCCCCAGGCUCAACCUGGGGACGCCACCCGAUACUGCUGUGGCUAGAGUCCAGUAGGGGAGUGUGGAAUUCCCGGUGUAGCGGUGAAGUGCGCAGAUAUCGGGAGGAACACCAGCGGCGAAGGCGGCACUCUGGGCUGGAACUGACGCUGAGGAGCGAAAGCGUGGGUAGCAAACAGG